AUUGAACGCUGGCGGAAUGCUUUACACAUGCAAGUCGAGCGGCAGCGCGGGGCAACCUGGCGGCGAGCGGCGAACGGGUGAGUAAUGCAUCGGAACAUGUCCAUGUCGUGGGGGAUAGCCCGGCGAAAGCCGGAUUAAUACCGCAUACGCCCGAGAGGGGAAAGUGGGGGACUCGCAAGGGCCUCACGCGAUUGGGUUGGCCGAUGUCCGAUUAGCUAGUUGGCGGGGUAAGAGCCCACCAAGGCGAUGAUCGGUAGCUGGUCUGAGAGGAUGAUCAGCCACACUGGGACUGAGACACGGCCCAGACUCCUACGGGAGGCAGCAGUGGGGAAUUUUGGACAAUGGGGGCAACCCUGAUCCAGCCAUUCCGCGUGAGUGAAGAAGG
rnacentral:rRNA from 1 species